AUCCCAGCUACCACAGCACCUGCAGAAGCACAAGUGGAACUCACACAUUUUGCUUCCCGUGUUCUAAAAUGGAUUCUGAGCCAUCCAGAGAAAUCCGCACAGAGGGGAACCUGAGAACAGAGGUGUACAUAUUAAAAAUUACACAGAUUCUCUUGAAAGACCUUGUAGCAUAAUCUAAGGUCAGCAAAUGAAGUUUCUGGCUACCAACAUAAAAGAACUUUAAGAAUCAGUUCCCUGUAGGGAAAAAUAACAUCUCAAAAUAAAAGGAUGGAAAUAGCACACAUUUUUUUAAGCAGAAAAUAUUAUACAGAGGAUCAAGGUAAUUUUUAAAAAUCAUUUCUAUCCCAAAGUAUAUUUUUACCAUUAUUUUGAAAUUAAAUAUAUAUAAUUUAAACAAGAGAUAUCUGUUUAUAAUGAGGAUUUUCUACUUAGCAACAGAAUAUACUGAAGAAAAAUAAGAUCAAAGCAUUGGACAUAAAAAACAACCUCCAGAAUGACAAUGAUAUUAAAUCAGCUAACAGAAAUGUCACCUCUCACAAAUUCACAAAAUUCAUUUACUGAUUUGAAGAAAAGGAUUUCCAAGAAAAACUAUUUAAAUCUCCUUCCUUUAGAUCAAAAGAUUACUGGAAAGCAACAUGAAUAUCCGGAAAAAAAAAAAUCCAGUGGUCUCUGUGUGGGUCUCUGACAGCAAUUUUUUAAAGAUUUCUGAGAUUGUUUCAAUGUAAUUGUGCAUAUAUUAGCAUUUUGAAAAGGUUCUCCAUAAAACCUUGGAUUAUACA
rnacentral:lncRNA from 1 species